CAUCCCUACCACACAGAGCCAGGGCUUCCACUGCCCACCAGUGUGGCCUGUGAGUUGUGGGGCCAGGGAACAGUGAGCAGUGUCCAUCCAGCAUCCACGUUUCCAGCCAUCCAGGGUGCCUCACUGCCUGCCCUGACCACACAGCCCAGCCCUCUGGUGAGCGGAGGUUUUCCACCGCCCGAGGAGGAGACACACAGUCAGCCAGUCAAUCCCCACAGCCUGCACCACCUGCAUGCUGCCUACCGUGUCGGAAUGCUGGCACUGGAGAUGCUGGGUCGCCGGGCACACAACGAUCACCCCAACAACUUCUCCCGCUCCCCCCCCUACACUGAUGAUGUCAAAUGGUUGCUGGGGCUGGCAGCAAAGCUGGGUAACACCUCCCCUCCCUAGACCAUUGCCCCCCCCCACCUGCUCUCCCCACCUUCCUUAUCCCAGACCUCCUUCCUAGCUCUUGCUCAGAGUUGAGGCCUUGGUCGGGUAUUGUGCGUGCGCGGGGGGCGGAGGGUUACCUCAGCUCCUGGGGUGGAGGGAGGCUCUCUGCCAGGCCAGAGCUGAGAUCUGUAAUUGGUCCCUAGGGCAGAGGUGGCCACCCCCGUCUCAUGCCCCUCCCCCUGCCCCCCAGGAGUGAACUACGUGCACCAGUUCUGUGUGGGGGCAGCCAAGGGGGUGCUGAGCCCGUUUGUGCUGCAGGAGAUCGUCAUGGAGACGCUGCAGCGGCUGAGUCCCGCUCAUGCCCACAACCACCUGCGUGCCCCGGCCUUCCACCAACUGGUGCAGCGCUGCCAGCAGGCAUACAUGCAGUACAUCCACCACCGCUUGAUUCACCUGACUCCUGCGGACUACGACGACUUUGUGAAUGCGAUCCGGAGCGCCCGCAGCGCCUUCUGCCUGACGCCCAUGGGCAUGAUGCAGUUCAAC
rnacentral:sRNA from 1 species